rnacentral:rRNA from 1 species
GACGAACCGUGCGAACGUUAUUCGGAAUCACUGGGCUUAAAGCGCGUGUAGGCGGGACGGCACGUCUGUCGCUGAAAUCCCCCGGCUUAACCGGGGAACUGGCGGAGAUACGACCGUCCUGGAGGGGCGUAGGGGGACCUGGAACUUCCGGUGGAGCGGUGAAAUGCGUUGAGAUCGGAAGGAACGCCCGUGGCGAAAGCGAGGUCCUGGACGACUACUGACGCUGAGACGCGAAAGCCAGGGGAGCGAACGGG